rnacentral:lncRNA from 1 species
AAAUAUGAUAGGGGGGGUAAGAAAAAAAAAGAUGAAAACAGAAAAUGGAAAAAGAAAAAAGCUUAGAGAAAGGCGAAAAAAUAAUCAAUCAUUUUGCAUUAGCAUACUGCAUACGUCAUGCAUAUCUAACCACUCGUAUACCCAUUUACCACAUAACCUUCCAAUUCCCAGCAGCUGCCCUGCACAAACACUAGCUUGUUC